ensembl:lncRNA
GUGACUGAUAUUUAGUACAAAGGGCACAAGACACAGAAUCAUGCAGACGUACACUAAGCUGCGUGCCUUCCAGCAACGUAUAACCUCUGCGAAGCUGUUUCCUUAUCCUGAAAAUGGGGACACAGUCCCCAUCCUGGAGGAUUGUAUUAAGCCCUAAAACGAGCAGCUGCUCCAUAGGUGUUUGCUGCUGUGGUUGUUGGAGGCGUCCUUCUCCACUCAGCCUUGGGAGGGGGUGCCUGUCUGGGGUCCAGAUUUCACCCCGGUUUCUCAGUUUCUUCAGGACUGCUGCCCCACUCAGGUACACACAGUCCUGGCUAUUGCCGCCAGGAAAUGGCAAGAGAGGAGAAGUCUGGGGAAGGGGAUCCUAGAGCAGGGGGAGGGGAAGAGAAUGGAGAGGCUGUAAUUUGAGAUGAGAAGAAAACACUGGAUGAGGAGGAGGUCCCAAUUGCUGGAAACUGAAGGUCCCCAGGGGUGGCUCAGAGCAGGAUUUAUCCGUGCUGUCCAGGCCUCUGGAGUUCCUCAGCACAGGGAGGCGGGGUGCGGUAGUGAUGACAUUCACUUUGGGCCUAGCCUGAAGUCCCGUCUCCCUGAGCCCUGGGCCGACCAUCUGACCCGAUGCUCAGUGGAAGGAACCGGCUCCUCCUUCACCCUGGCCUGUGCAAAGGCCCAGCGGUCUGAUCCCUUUCUCCUCCCAGGCCCUGACUGGGGCCGUCAGCACCGUUAAGUUCUUCCUCUCUGAGGCUUUCCUGGGUCAGCACUUCGAGGCCGUGGAGUUGCAGGGCAGCGAGCCUGAGUCCGGAGACCUCUUCCCGUUCAGGCUGAUGUCCCCCAACGGACGCUGGUGGGGGCCCACGUGGGCGUGUAUUGCGGCCACGGAGAGAUCAUCCACUUCGAGGGUGAGCGUCUCCAACGGAAACACAGGCCCUAUUCUGCACAGAGCGGCUGCCCACCAGUGGGCGGGCCACACAGAGAAGUCUGCGGGUCCCGAGUCGGGGCAAGAAUCCCAGCAGUCACAGGCCGCACAUGUUUCUGGGCUCCUGCGAAGGGGUUGUAUCCAAACGGGCAGCGCCCGCUGUUGCGCUCCCGCUCGCUGUGGCGUGUGCUGCGUAGACGCGGCGGCAUUGACCGCGCCGGGCUGGAGCGCCGCAUGCGCGAAGCCAUGGACGCGGACCCGCCUCCCUAUCACCCCACGCACAGCAACUGCGUGCACUUUGCACUGCGUCUGCUCGGCCCAGGGCCCAGCCUGGACCCCCUACAAAUAGACCGGAGUCCCAUUUCGGUGUCAGUGGACGUGGACUUGACGGUGGACUAGGCAUGAACUCAAGCCCUCCUGGGUGGGCAUGGGGGCUUCAGAAAUGGUCAUUAAACUGUUUUCCAAAACCGAGUUCGGGGUUCAUCGUCCCCUCUAUUCUCUCGCCACCUCUCCGCAACCUGAUGUAAGCUCCUCGGCGCUCUUGGAUCAACCUUCCUAAAAUUCCAUCACCUCCAGGAAGCCCCCUGUGAGAAACCAGAAUGCCGGCAGAGGGGCCCAAAUUUUGUAGGAAAGGUGGAGCGGAGAGAGGGAGCGUCCGUGGUCUCUGAGUCGGUCUCCG